rnacentral:rRNA from 1 species
GACGAACGCUGGCGGCGUGCUUAACACAUGCAAGUCGAACGGAAAGGCCCUGCUUUUGUGGGGUGCUCGAGUGGCGAACGGGUGAGUAACACGUGAGUAACCUGCCCUUGACUUUGGGAUAACUUCAGGAAACUGGGGCUAAUACCGGAUAGGAGCUCCUGCUGCAUGGGGGGGGUUGGAAAGUUUCGGCGGUUGGGGAUGGACUCGCGGCUUAUCAGCUUGUUGGUGGGGUAGUGGCUUACCAAGGCUUUGACGGGUAGCCGGCCUGAGAGGGUGACCGGCCACCUGGGGACUGAGAUACGGCCCAGACUCCUACGGGAGGCAGCAGUGGGGAAUAUUGCACAAUGGGCGGAAGCCUGAUGCAGCAACGCCGCGUUCGGGAUGCCGGCCUUCGGGUUGUAAACCGCUUUCGCCUGUGACGAAGCGUGAGUGACGGUACUGGGUAAAGAAGCACCGGCUAACUACGUG